ACGAACGCUGGCGGCGUGCCUAACACAUGCAAGUCGAGCGGAGGUAUAUACGAAGAAGUUUUCGGACGGAAUUGUAUAUACUUUAGCGGCGGACGGGUGAGUAACGCGUGAGCAACCUGCCUUUCACAGGGGGAUAAGGCGGCGAAAGCCGCUCUAAUACCGCAUGAGACCACAGUGGUGAUGCUACAGGGGUCAAAGGAGCAAUCCGGUGAAAGAUGGGCUCGCGUCCGAUUAGGUAGUUGGUGGGGUAAUGGCCCACCAAGCCCGUGAUCGGUAGCCGGCCUGAGAGGGUGAACGGCCACAUUGGAACUGAGACACGGUCCAAACUCCUACGGGAGGCAGCAGUGGGGAAUAUUGGGCAAUGGGGGGAACCCUGACCCAGCAACGCCGCGUGAGGGAAGAAGGUUUUCGGAUUGUAAAC
rnacentral:rRNA from 1 species